rnacentral:rRNA from 1 species
GACGUAGGUGGCGAACGUUUAUCCGGAAUUAUUGGGCGUAAAGGGUGCGUAGGUGGCCUGGCAAGUUAUCAGUGGUAAAUCGAGGCCCAACCUCGUGGAAACUGGCAAUACUGUUUGGCUUGAGUGCAGGAGAGGUUAACGGAACUCUAUGUGGAGCGGUAAAAUGCACAGAUAUAUAGAAGAACAUCAAUAACGGCGAAGGCAGUUAACUAUUCUGUUACUGACACUGAGGCACGAAAGCGUGGGGAGCAAAACGG